rnacentral:rRNA from 1 species
AGUGAACGCUGGCGGUAGGCCUAACACAUGCAAGUCGAACGGCAGCACAGUAAGAGCUUGCUCUUACGGGUGGCGAGUGGCGGACGGGUGAGGAAUACAUCGGAAUCUACUUUUUCGUGGGGGAUAACGUAGGGAAACUUACGCUAAUACCGCAUACGACCUACGGGUGAAAGCAGGGGAUCUUCGGACCUUGCGCGAUUGAAUGAGCCGAUGUCGGAUUAGCUAGUUGGCGGGGUAAAGGCCCACCAAGGCGACGAUCCGUAGCUGGUCUGAGAGGAUGAUCAGCCAAACUGGAACUGAGACACGGUCCAGACUCCUACGGGAGGCAGCAGUGGGGAAUAUUGGACAAUGGGAGCAAGCCUGAUCCAGCCAUACCGCGUGGGUGAAGAAGGCCUUCGGGUUGUAAAGCCCUUUUGUUGGGAAAGAAAAGCAGCAGGUUAAUACCCCGCUGUUCUGACGGUACCCAAAGAAUAAGCACCGGCUAACUUCGUG